AUUGAACGCUGGCGGCAGGCCUAACACAUGCAAGUCGAACGAGUGGCGGACGGGUGAGUAAUGUCUGGGAAACUGCCCGAUGGAGGGGGAUAACUACUGGAAACGGUAGCUAAUACCGCAUACCAUCGGAUGUGCCCAGAUGGGAUUAGCUAGUAGGUGGGGUAACGGCUCACCUAGGCGACGAUCCCUAGCUGGUCUGAGAGGAUGACCAGCCACACUGGAAGUGGGACACGGUCCAGACUCCUACGGGAGGCAGCAGGGGGGAAUAGUGCAACAUGGGCGAAAGCCUGAUGCAGCCAUGCCGGGUGUAUGAAGAAGGCCUUCGGGUUGUAAAGUACUUUCAGCGAGGAGGCUUUACUCGCAGAAGAAGCACCGGCUAACUCCGUGCCAGCAGCCGCGGUAAUAC
rnacentral:rRNA from 1 species